UGAUAGAGGUUGCGGGAACCAAGAGUAACUCGUCCGGCACAGGCACUGCGGGCGAGGGAAAGGGGGGACCGCCGAGGAGCGGGGCUGAGCGCCUGAUCGGGUCCGUGUCCGGGGCCGUGGAGAACAUCCGCGGCACUGUCGUUCCCCAGGGAACGGAGAGCUGUCAG
rnacentral:ncRNA from 1 species